UACUGUUUGUAGUAUUAUAUGAUUACAGGUACUUCUACUUUUCGCGUCAUACAUAGGGAAAAUAUCUAUGUAUACGGCGGGUCUGUUAGCGAGUCCGGAAAAACGAGCAAAUCGGGGCGUGACAGUGUGGGUCCCACCGAAUGCUAAAUUUUUUUAUUUUAACCUGAUAGAUAGGUUGUGUGGGAAGAGGGGGGAGGCAGAUGACCUUGACGCUGUCGUUGCCGGAAAGGUGGAAGAGGGCGUAGUGGAA
rnacentral:lncRNA from 1 species